UGCCCACCCAGUGGCGCAGGGAAGCCGUAAGCCCGCCGCCUGGGAGUACGGCGCAAGCUGAAACUCAAAGGAGUGGCGGGGAGCACACAAGGGAUGGAGCCUGCGGUUCAAUGGAGUCAACGCCGGGAAUCUUACCGGGGGAGACAGCAGGAUGACGCCCAGGUUAAAGCCCUUGCCCGACGCGCUGAGAGGAGGUGCAUGGCCGUCGCCAGCUCGUGUCGUGAGAUGUCCGGUUAAGUCCGGCAACGAGCGAGACCCCCACCCCCAGUUGCUACCCCGGCCUCUGGGCCGGGGGCACACUGGGGGGACUGCCGCCGUUUAAGGCGGAGGAAGGAGGGGGCCACGGCAGGUCAGCAUGCCCCGAAUCCCCCGGGCUACACGCGGGCUACAAUGGCGGGGACAGCGGGUGCCGACCCCGAAAGGGGGAGGCAAUCCCUCAAACCCCGCCGCAGUUGGGAUCGAGGGCUGCAACUCGCCCUCGUGAACGUGGAAUCCCUAGUAACCGCGCGUCAACAUCGCGCGGUGAAUACGUCCCUGCUCCUUGCACUCACCGCCCGU
rnacentral:rRNA from 1 species